GAGUCCACCGUUUACACGAGUGUCACGAGCGCUUCUUCAUUGCUCCACAGAAAGCCAACGACACAACUGUCACAACAGCUUUCAUCACUUAGUCUCGUCUGUGUUGUUAAUAAAGUGGGCCAUGAUGCUACAUUCCAGAAUGAUGAAAUUGGAACAAACAGAUAUUUGGUUUAGAAAAAGAAAAAAGGGUUGGCAUCAUCUAGGGUCAUCUGAGGGGUGGGCAUCAUCUCUUCUCAGGUGUUCUGGAUCCAGAGCUUGUGUAAAUCCUGGUUACCACGGGAUGUCAAUCCCAUUGUACAAGUAAUUAGCAAAGCUGCUGUUCCAACCAAGUAAAAUUAAUUACUUUAACCCAAGCUAAAGAAUAAUAAUUCACAUUUGAUCAGAUAUAACUGCAGUCCAAGAUGAUGAGAUGCAUUAUUUGAAUGCUUCGAAUGCUUAGGAUUAAAAGAGCAUAAUGCACCUGUUAAAUGUCUUGAAAUGUAGACAUCUGAAGUAGACUAAGGAAUUAAAUCCAUGAAGGUUU